AUUGAACGCUGGCGGCAGGCCUAACACAUGCAAGUCGAGCGGAUGAAGGGAGCUUGCUCCUGGAUUCAGCGGCGGACGGGUGAGUAAUGCCUAGGAAUCUGCCUGGUAGUGGGGGAUAACGUCCGGAAACGGGCGCUAAUACCGCAUACGUCCUGAGGGAGAAAGUGGGGGAUCUUCGGACCUCACGCUAUCAGAUGAGCCUAGGUCGGAUUAGCUAGUUGGUGGGGUAAAGGCCUACCAAGGCGACGAUCCGUAACUGGUCUGAGAGGAUGAUCAGUCACACUGGAACUGAGACACGGUCCAGACUCCUACGGGAGGCAGCAGUGGGGAAUAUUGGACAAUGGGCGAAAGCCUGAUCCAGCCAUGCCGCGUGUGUGAAGAAGGUCUUCGGAUUGUAAAGCACUUUAAGUUGGGAGGAAGGGCAGUAAGUUAAUACCUUGCUGUUUUGACGCUACCAACAGAAUAAGCACCGGCUAGCUUCGUG
rnacentral:rRNA from 1 species